rnacentral:rRNA from 1 species
ACUCCUACGGGAGGCAGCAGUGGGGAAUAUUGCACAAUGGGCACCAGCCUGAUGCAGCCAUGCCGCGUGAUGUAGCAAGAAUGGGCCUUCGGGUUGAUAAAGCACUUUCAGUCGUGAGGAAGGUAGUGUAGUUAAUAGCUGCUAUUAUUUGACGUUAGCGAACAGAAGAAGCACCGGCUAACUCCGUGCCAGCAGCCGCGGUAAUACGGAGGGUGCGAGCGUUAAUCGGAAUUACUGGGCGUAAAGCGCAUGCAGGUGGUUUGUUAAGUCAGAUGUGAAAGCCCGGGGCUCAACCUCGGAAUUGCAUUUGAAACUGGCAGACUAGAGUACUGUAGAGGGGGGUAGAAUUUCAGGUGUAGCGGUGAAAUGCGUAGAGAUCUGAAGG